CACCUUUCAAUGUUAGCUCUCUACUCAUAUCAUAAUCUAUGGAAGGAAAAACAAAAUUAAAAAAUAGAGGAAAAAAAAUGAUCUAUAUAUCGGACAUGUAAUUUUUAGAGCACACAUAUUAUCACUAGAGAAUCCCAUCUAAGCACAUGUUAUGAUGUUUGUAGUAAGAGUUCUCAUAUAUAUAUGUAUAUGGUGUAAGACACUGAUGACAGUUCUCAUAUAUAUAUGUAUAUGGUGUAAGACACUGAUGACAGUAACCAAAUAUGCCGUUUUGAGCAGCCACAUUCAACAAUUUAUGAAAUAUAAUCAAAAUCUAAAUUGUUCUUGAAAUCAAACUUAAACACUUCCAUCUUUCUUUGUUCUUUGCAUAAUAAAGCUCUUCAUGAGCUAUUCAAUUUCUAUCUUAAUAUUUCUCAAGCUUAAUGGGCAUCAGUCUAAUCUUGUUUAUUACAAUUUGAAGUUCAUGAUGAUUAAAAGGG
rnacentral:sRNA from 1 species